CACGACCUUUGUUCGCUUGAUUCUGAUUGCCAUGUCCUUGAUUGCCUCAACCCUGGUUGGUUUGGUUAGUUUGUCUGCCCGAGCCACCACUGCUAGAAGCUACAUCGAGAUUCUGAUACUUACCUCCACUAUACCAUUGUUCUCUGUCACCUUGAUAUAAUGUAUAACAUCCCUAGUACUGUUGAUAGCCACCCUGGUAAUAUGGGACAUUAGGUGGGUGCUGGUACGCUCUUCCCGGAUACUGGGAUAUGUCACCCUGAUAAUGGAAAACACUGUCAUAACCUGUCUACUGGUAGGUACCAGAUCCCGGAAUCUGUUGUAGAGGAAUUGUAGGUGGUAAUGUAGGAGGCUGAUUUUUCUGAUUCUGAGGACAUUGAUUGGACCUGUGCCCUAUCUAAUUGUAGGUGUAGCAUUCAUUAUUUCCUCUCUUACACUCAUUGUAAUGAUGAUUAUUGCACCUAUGACAGAACUGAGCACCAGAAUUGUUGGAGUUCCUUUGAUUCUGAAAACGUGAACUACCAGUAGAUUUGUCGCCCUUUUGAGGUGUAUUAGAAUUUGAACUCCCAUUAGAUAAUAGUAUUACUAUUAUCCUCUUCGUCAUCAUUAUUAUCAGGGCCAUUUUCAGAAUUUUCAACACAAAGCAUAAUCUUAAAGAAUUCUUGAUAGGUGGAGCAUAGAGUAAAAGCCACCAAAAAACGCAGUCGUUUACGAGUUCCCUUCUUAAACUGAUAAAGCAUCUUUCUGGGAUUCUCAACAAUAGCAGGACAGUAACGAGAUAAAUAGGUGAACUUCCGGUGAUACUAUGUGACUAACAUUUUACCCUGCUUCAACUCUGUGAACUCAUCUCUUUUUCGAUCUUUGUAUUCAGGAGGUGUGAAUCUGGCUUCAAAUAGGCGUUUGAAAACAUCCCAUCUCAUGGCAUCCUGAGCAGACAAUGGGUAUGACUCCUAAGCGCACCAUGAUUCUGCUCUUAGACAAAGAACCACGUCGCUGUUUCGACCCAUCGUUCCGCUAGAAGAUUCUUAUGUUGUUGCAUAACACGAAAAGUCUUUUCAACAUGGUCGAUCCAAACCUCGGAUUUCUCGGGUCCCUAGUUACCAAAGAAAUUAUUUAUCUGAAGAUGAGAUACGGUCUCUAAGGUAAAGGACGAAGUGUUGUUUGAAUGGCGUUGGUGAUAGCCUCACCGAGUUGCCCAAAACAAAAAAAGUUUGUCUCAGAAGAGAUAAGUGGUGCUCUACGAGGUGGCAUGAUUUUGAUAUAAGAGAUCAAAAAUUAUUAGGACCUAUAACAUAUAUGAGGAACACAGGACUGCCAAAACAUAUGCUUUGAUACCAAACUGACACACCCCGACCGAAGUUGGCCGACACCCGAAGGUGACGUAGCCAAAAGGAAUAUGAUGUAUAAAAUAUGGAUAAAUUUAAACCAAAGUUAGCAUUUAUUUAAACUAAUACAAAGAGUGCGCAGUAGUGGGAAGAAACCAAUAAACACAAGUGUUCAAAGCAUAGAUGACAGUACGACAUAAAUAAAGCAGUCGAAUCUAGUUAAGGUACUUAUUACACAACCGAAAAUAAGCUCCAACAUUUAUGUAGGGAUAUGUCAGAAUUGCCAAAGAUUCCUCAUACACCACAGAGAAUUCAGCUAACCAAGUCUUGAAGGGGCGAAAAACAGAAGGUGUGAGUGGGCAAAAACAAAGGUUUAUAAAACACAUAUAUUUUCUGAACAUACUAACCCCUCGCCGUAAAACAUGUAUAGUUUCCAGAAAAUCAUACUACGUAUAAGUAUGAAAUCAAAUGUAAAUCAACAAUAAUUCCAGAAAUACACAAAUCAUAAUAUCUCAACCGUGGCAUAAGAAAAUUAGGUGCUCAUCAAUCUAUGCUAACACACGAGUUCAUGCAGAGGGAUUCUGACAUGAACAGGACUAGGUGUAAUCAUUAUAUACGCUCUGGUACUACAAUCACACGAAGAUUGGCUCUAGGUGCAUGACAUACGAGUCCUAGUUUGCCUAUUGCAACCUAGGACAGGGCUGGCACCUACAAUGGAUCCAAGGUGAGUGUGCAGUGCGAUGUGAACAUACACGUGAAGCCUGGCCCGGGCCCAGGGGGAGUGCUACACCGGUACAAACGUGCAUGAUGAGCCAGUAUAAUGUAUAUAAACAUGCCAUGACAAUACAUAAAACUCGACAAUAUAAUGGCAUUUUUAAAAUUAAAUAAAACAUGGCAUGAUAAGCAUAAAAUCAAUCCAAAAGCACUUGUGGAAACUAUAAAACUUUAUAUAUAAUAUAUAAAAACAAAUGCCCACUCACUAAUACGUAGUCGGAUCGUAGCCUCCUAGCCUUGCUUGUCCUCCUACCUCCCCGGGGUAAUUCUCUCAUAUAUGUGAAACAACUAUACUAAUUAAUUAGGUCAUACACUAAAAGGCUAGAAAAUCCCCCAUAGUUUGCUCAAACGCAAGGUUUAAAUAUAUGAAAACAUUCUACGUGACGUCACGGACCCGUACACGUCGACCAUGAGCCACCACGAUGCCGGACGCGCCCUCAU
rnacentral:lncRNA from 1 species